rnacentral:lncRNA from 1 species
UUCCUAAACCCACACAACAUACACAUCACGUGUCAGAUGUGCAUGCACAUUACAUAUAUCACAGACAUAUAUACACUGUGCACAUCACACGUGACAUUUGUACCUAUAUGCACACAUGCAUGCACACCUCACUCUACACACAUGCCUGCCAUGCACACAUGUAUAUAGGAACACCAAAAUGAGUGAAGAGAUUUUAAAGGAGGCUUGUGCAGUCAGGGUAUGAUAGGCUUGGGCAUGACUACCCUCUGUGUUACAGUCAACUGCGGUCUGGUCUUUUAGCUACUUUCACAACUGGGCCAGUGCCUGUGUAGAAGGAACACCAAGGCCACAUCUCAGGGAAGUGAACUGAGGACUCAGAAGAUGCACAGGCCCUGGAGUAUGGAAAGGCAGAGCAUGGUCUCCAGGAUCCAGUGCUCACACGGACUCAGGGCUGCUGCUCAGGGAACCAGCAAACCCUGUUGCUCUGACCAUGCCACCGUGAAGGGCGGUCUCUUUCUGUUCCAGUCUCUGCGGUGCCACUGUGUAUUAGAAAGGACAUCUUUCAAAGGAGGGGUUGGUGAAGGGCAAUUUACCUUCUCUUUCAGAGAUACAACUGUCUGAGGAGAGGCUAGGAGGUGUUGCAGAACCAAAAUAUAGAGCUAGAGGGAUCAUAAAAUCGAGUUUUGGAGGAAGGUUAGCUCAAGGCUGCAUGUCCCUGAACACCUUGGUGGGGGUGAAGGGUGACUUCAUAGUCACUAGUAGCCCAGUGCCUGUCAGUACUCUACAUGACCUUGUUGCCCUUGCUUCUUCUGGUGCUCAACAGCACCACUCAGAUGCAAACAGCAAGGCCUAGAUAGUGUCCACAUCUCCCAUGGCUUGACACUGUGCUGGGUUUGAUACUACAAACUGGGAGGCUGGGACUUGAACUUGAGAUCACUGACUCAGGCUAGGGAGGACUCCAGGGCACCUGAGCUCAGCUGCAAAGGCAGAAACUGAACCACAGUGAGCAGAAGGGGCACAUUUUGCUGUUUCUUUCCUUUUCUGCUCUCAGGCCUUUCAAUGAACACUACAGAUGAGGAUCUUUCCUCCCAGGCUUAGUGUCUGCAGCCAUGAGGGUCCUCUACAGGGGAUUGAAAACCCCAGAAGAGUCUUCAGAAGGAAAG